rnacentral:rRNA from 1 species
CGCGGCCUAUCAGCUUGUUGGUGGGGUGAUGGCCUACCAAGGCGACGACGGGUAGCCGGCCUGAGAGGGCGACCGGCCACACUGGGACUGAGACACGGCCCAGACUCCUACGGGAGGCAGCAGUGGGGAAUAUUGCACAAUGGGCGGAAGCCUGAUGCAGCGACGCCGCGUGAGGGAUGACGGCCUUCGGGUUGUAAACCUCUUUCAGCAGGGACGAAGCGUAAGUGACGGUACCUGCAGAAGAAGCGCCGGCCAACUACGUGCCAGCAGCCGCGGUAAGACGUAGGGCGCGAGCGUUGUCCGGAUUUAUUGGGCGUAAAGAGCUCGUAGGCGGCUUGUCGCGUCGACUGUGAAAACCCGCAGCUCAACUGCGGGCCUGCAGUCGAUACGGGCAGGCUAGAGUUCGGUAGGGGAGACUGGAAUUCCUGGUGUAGCGGUGAAAUGCGCAGAUAUCAGGAGGAACACCGGUGGCGAAGGCGGGUCUCUGGGCCGAUACUGACGCUGAGGAGCGAAAGCGUGGGGAGCGAACAGGAUUAGAUACCCUGGUAGUCCACGCUGUAAACGUUGGGCGCUAGGUGUGGGGGGCCUCUCCGGUUCCCUGUGCCGCAGCUAACGCAUUAAGCGCCCCGCCUGGGGAGUACGGA